AACGAACGCUGGCGGCAUGCCUAACACAUGCAAGUCGAACGAGACCUUCGGGUCUUGUGGCGCACGGGUGCGUAACGCGUGGGAACCUGCCCUUAGGUUCGGAAUAACUCCCCGAAAGGGGUGCUAAUACCGGAUAAUGUCUUCGGACCAAAGAUUUAUCGCCCUUGGAUGGGCCCGCGUUGGAUAAGCUAGUUGGUAGGGUAAAAGCCUACCAAGGCGACGAUCCAUAGCUGGUCUGAGAGGAUGAUCAGCCACACUGGGACUGAGACACGGCCCAGACUCCUACGGGAGGCAGCAGUGGGGAAUAUUGGACAAUGGGCGAAAGCCUGAUCCAGCAAUGCCGCGUGAGUGAUGAAGGCCUUAGGGUUGUAAAGCUCUUUUACCCGGGAUGAUAAUGACAGUACCGGGAGAAUAAGCUCCGGCUAACUCCGUG
rnacentral:rRNA from 1 species